UACGAAGGGGGCUAGCGUUGCUCGGAAUCACUGGGCGUAAAGGGUGCGUAGGCGGGUCUUUAAGUCAGGGGUGAAAUCCUGGAGCUCAACUCCAGAACUGCCUUUGAUACUGAAGAUCUUGAGUUCGGGAGAGGUGAGUGGAACUGCGAGUGUAGAGGUGAAAUUCGUAGAUAUUCGGAAGAACACCAGUGGCGAAGGCGACAUACUGGCCCAAUACUGACGCUGAGGCUCGAAAGCGUGGGGAGCAAACAGG
rnacentral:rRNA from 1 species